CCGUGCAGCCGGGGCGUUAGCGGUGCCCUGUACCUACAAUCCGCUCUAGUAGGGGUGAUGUUCUGUCGCGGAUUUUAGCUGGUAUAGCUGCCCUUUAUAAGUGGCGUUGAAGUUUGGGUCUCACGCAAUGGGAACCUGUGAAUCGUGUCAGGUUGGGAACAAAGCAGCACUAAGCGGGAU
rnacentral:SRP_RNA from 1 species